GGAGGGGUGCCCGAGUGGUCGAAGGGGGCGGCCUUGAAAGCCGCUGAGGGCCUUAGUGCCCUCCGGGGGUUCGAAUCCCUCCCCCUCCGCCC
rnacentral:tRNA from 1 species